AGUUUGCUGGGAGUACUUUACAGGUGAAAAAAUGCUGAUGAAUGCCACUGAGUACUGCCUUACAAACCAGCAUGAGUGUCAUGUGGUGGCAAACAGCAAUGCUCUUCACCUCUGCUGAACCAUGUGUACCUCUGCUGAACCACAAACCUCCUACAAACUUGUGACAAUGUGAAGCUAAUAGAAUACAGAUCCCUAUCCAGAUCUACUGGCAAAUGGAUUGACUUACAGAAUUGAUGCAGUACAAAUGAUCUGUACAGACCCUAUAAAAGGAACCUCCAAUUUGUUUAAAAUUGUCAGUCUUAUUCAUACAUUUUGACACUGAGGUCUGAUAGUGUAACGUAUGACAGGCUAAGGAUAAUACUGAGUAAUACUCCUAGAAAAAAAUUGUCGUUUAGUUUGUUGUGUCAGAGAGAAGAUCGAGA